CAGACUCCUGCAAAUGCUCAGGGUUCAGUUCAGAUGUCACCUCCUCCGAGAAGCCCUCCCUGAACCCCAUCCAUCCAAGUCUCCUUGGAUGUCCCUCACUGCUCUUAGCUCCAGUCAGACUCCACCGUACCUGCCGUUGACCUGUCUGCUCCCACUGGCUGUGAGCUCCAGAAGUUCCCGGAAAAAGCUUCAACUUCUGGCUGCUGUGGGAGGCUCGUUCCCGAGAAGAAAAAUGACCUCUGGUUGCAGUUCGCAUGGGACAUCUCCCCAGCUAGGCUGGGAGCUCGCUGAGGGCAGGACCUUGGCCCCUGAGAUCAAAGCCCUGGAAACCUUUCAAUCCAGCCUCUCAGGAAGAAAUAAAUCACAGAGCAAUGGUGUAAGAGGAUGCUGACCUCUGGGCUUUGAUUGAGAAGUAAUGUGAGACAGGACCUCUCACACUGGCUUGGAACCCUUCCUGCCUCAGUUUGCUCUGAGUGUUAGUGGCCUACACAAAGAUCUUAAACCCCACCAUUCACAUCUCUGAAUCUCCCACAGCAUCUAGCAG
rnacentral:lncRNA from 1 species